rnacentral:rRNA from 1 species
UACGAAGGGGGCUAGCGUUGCUCGGAAUCACUGGGCGUAAAGGGUGCGUAGGCGGGUUUUAAGUCAGGGGUGAAAUCCUGGAGCUCAACUCCAGAACUGCCUUUGAUACUGAAGAUCUUGAGUUCGGGAGAGGUGAGUGGAACUGCGAGUGUAGAGGGUGAAAUUCGUAGAUAUUCGCAAGAACACCAGUGGCGAAGGCGGCUCACUG